UAAAAAGAAGUUUUCUGGAAAAUUCUGGAAAACUGAACAAGGACCAUCUGUGCUCUACCUGCAUCUCUGCUUCCUAGUUGAUUUACAGAAUGAGAUUUCCACAGAUUCUCAAGCAAAUGCAACUCAUUCAAGUGUUCUAGAUCAAAGAGGCUCGGGAAGACGUGUUUCAAGUUUCUGAUAAUAAAAAAAUAUAAAUUUUCAGAAAAGUCCUGGG
rnacentral:lncRNA from 1 species